rnacentral:rRNA from 1 species
GACAGAGGAGGCGAGCGUUAUCCGGAGUUAUUGGGCGUAAAGGGCACGUAGGCGGCUGGGCAAGUCGGGGGUUAAAGACCACAGCUUAACUGUGGGGCUGCCUUGGAAACUGACCGGCUGGAGUGGGGGAGGGGUUGCGGGAAUUCCCGGUGUAGCGGUGAAAUGCGUAGAUAUCGGGAAGAACACCUGAGGCGAAAGCGCGCAACUGGGCCCUAACUGACGCUGAGGUACGAAAGCUAGGGGAGCGAAUGGG